rnacentral:rRNA from 1 species
ACGUAGGAGACGAGCGUUAUCCGGAAUUACUGGGCGUAAAGCGCGAGUAGGCGGAAGUGCAAGUCUUUUGUGAAAGCUCCUGGCUAAACUGGGAGAGGUCGAAAGAUACUGCACAUCUGGAGUAUGGAAGAGGGGUGCGGAAUUCCGGGUGUAGUGGUGAAAUGCGUAGAUAUGCGGAGGAACACCGAUGGCGAAGGCAAUCCCCUGGGCCUGCACUGACGCUCAUGCACGAAAGCGUGGGGAGCAAACAG